rnacentral:misc_RNA from 1 species
GAUCAUUAGUGAUUAAUUAUUGAGUGUAAAAACUCAUAAUCUUCUAUACAAACCACUGUUUUAAAAUGUUUACUAGAAUGUCCAAGCAGUUAAGCUGUUGAAAUAUUAAAAGUUUAAUAAAACUUUCAGCAACGGAUCUCUUGGUUCAGGCAUCGAUGAAGAACGCAGCGAAAUGCGAUAAGUAAUGUGAAUUGCAGAUACAGUGAAUCAUCGAAUCUUUGAACGCAAAUGGCACUCUAUGGUAUUCCGUAGAGUACGUCUGUUUGAGCGUCGCGAACAUCUCCAUAAUUAGUUUUUUUUAAAUUGAUUGUGGGUUUUGAGGUUGUCAUAUAAGCAAUGACUCCCUUUAAAAUAAUUAGUGAUGACCUUAUGAAUGGGUUAAUACUGUGUGUUAUAAUGGAUUACAUCCAUCACCAGUCAGAGAGUAAUCUCGCCUUAGUAAUUUGUAGUGAUUGCUUCUAACUGCCAU